UGAGUACGAGAUGCUACGGCAUCGAAGCAGUCUAUGUCAUACUUCCAAGAAAAGCUUGCACUGUCAUAAACAAAGAAUGCCUGUACCAUAACCGACACAGGUGGGUAGGUAGAGUAUACUAAGGGGCGCGAGAUAACUCUCUCUAAGGAACUCGGCAAAAUGACUCCGUAACUUCGGGAGAAGGAGUGCCUUAUUUCUAAGGUUGCAAUAACAAGAUCCAAGCAACUGUUUACCAAAAACACAGGUCUCCGCUAAGUCGUAAGACGAUGUAUGGGGGCUGACGCCUGCCCAGUGCCAGAAGGUUAAAGAAGUUGGUUAGCAUUAGCGAAGCUGAUAACUGAAGCCCUGGUGAACGGCGGCCGUAACAAUAACGGUCCUAAGGUAGCGAAAUUCCUUGUCGGGUAAGUUCCGACCCGCACGAAAGGCGUAAUGAUUUGGAUACUGUCUCGGAGAGGGGCUCGGUGAAAUAGACUUGUCUGUGAAGAUGCGGACUACCUGCACCUGGACAGAAAGACCCUAUGAAGCUUUACUGUAACUUGAGAUUGAAAUUGGACUUUGUUUGCGCAGUAUAGGUGGGAGGCGUUGAGAAUAAUCUUGCGGGAUUGUUGGAGCCAUCAGUGAGAUACCACUCUUGUAAUGUUAGAUUUCUAACUUUGUAUCAUUAUCUGGUCAAAGAACAGUUUCAGGCGGGCAGUUUGACUGGGGCGGUCGCCUCCCAAAGGGUAACGGAGGCGCACAAAGGUUUCCUCUGAACGGGUAGAAAUCGUAUCUAGAGUGUAAAGGCAUAAGGAAGCUUGACUGUGAGACCUACAAGUCGAGCAGGGACGAAAGUCGGUCUUAGUGAUCUGACGGUGCUGAGUGGAAAGGCCGUCACUCAACGGAUAAAAGUUACUCUAGGAUAACAGGCUGAUCUCCCCCAAGAGUUCACAUCGACGGGGAGGUUUGGCACCUCGAUGUCGGCUCAUCGCAUCCUGGGGCGGUAGUCCGUCCCAAGGGUUGGGCUGUUCGCCCAUGAAAGCGGUACGCGAGCUGGGUUCAGAACGUCGUGAGACAGUUCGGUCCAUAUCCGGUGUAGGCGUUAGAAUAUUGAGAGGAGCCUUCUCUAGUACGAGAGGACCGAGAAGGACAUACCUCUGGUGUACCAGUUAUCGUGCCAACGGUAAACGCUGGGUAGCUAUGUAUGGAGUGGAUAACCGCUGAAAGCAUCUAAGUGGGAAGCCCACCUCAAGAUAAGUAUUC
rnacentral:rRNA from 1 species